AUUGAACGCUGGCGGUAUGCUUAACACAUGCAAGUCGAACGGUAGAUACUUCGGUAUCGAGAGUGGCGGACGGGUGAGUAACGCGUAGGAAUCUGCCUGUUAGUGGGGGACAACGUGGGGAAACGCACGCUAAUACCGCAUACGCCCUACGGGGGAAAGGAGGGGACCUUCGGGCCUUUCGCUAACAGAUGAGCCGGCGUUGGAUUAGCUAGUUGGUAGGGUAAAGGCCUACCAAGGCGACGAUCCAUAGCUGGUCUGAGAGGACGAUCAGCCACACUGGGACUGAGAACCGGCCCAGACUCCUACGGGAGGCAGCAGUGGGGAAUAUUGGACAAUGGGCGCAAGCCUGAUCCAGCAAUACCGCGUGUGUGAAGAAGGCCUUAGGGUUGUAAAGCACUUUCAAUGGGGAGGAAAAAGUAAAGGCCAAUACCCUUUAUAUUGACAUUACCCAUACAAGAAGCACCGGCUAACUCCGUGCCAGCAGCCGCCGUAAGAC
rnacentral:rRNA from 1 species